UAGCUGUAUCAGGAUCUCCUAAGAUUCU
rnacentral:piRNA from 1 species